rnacentral:rRNA from 1 species
UUGUGCCAGCCGCCGCGCUAAUACGAAGGGGGCUAGCGUUGUUCGGAAUCACUGGGCGUAAAGAGCGUGUAGGCGGACCAUCAAGCUAGGGGUGAAAGCCCGGGGCUCAACCUCGGAACUGCCUUUAGAACUGGUGGUCUAGAGUCUUGGAGGGGAGUGUGGAAUUCCUAAUGUAGAGGUGAAAUUCGUAGAUAUUAGGAGGAACACCAGCGGCGAAGGCGGCACUCUGGACAAGUACUGACGCUGAGACGCGAAAGUGGGGUAGCAAACAGGACUAGAUACCCUGGUAGUCCACGCCGUAAACGAUGGGUGCUAGCCGUCGGGGCUUCGCUUCGGUGGCAAAGCUAACGCAUUAAGCACCCCGCCUGGGAACUACGAUCGCAAGAUUAAAACUCAAAGGAAUUGACGGGGACCCGCACAAGCGGUGGAGCAUGUGGUUUAAUUCGAGGCAACGCGAAGAACCUUACCAGGGCUUGACAUGCCUCUCGCGGAUUCCAGAGAUGGUUUCCUUCAGCUUGGCUGGAGAGUGCACAGGUGCUGCACGGCUGUCGUCAGCUCGUGUCGUGAGAUGUUGGGUUAAGUCCCGCAACGAGCGCAACCCUCGUCCUUAGUUACUACCAUUUAGUUGAGGACUCUAAGGAAACUGCCGGAGUUAAUCCGGAGGAAGGUGGGGAUGACGUCAAGUCUUCAUGGCCCUUACGUCCUGGGCUACACACGUGCUACAAUGGCGGUGACAAUGGGCUGCGACUCAGCAAUGAGGAGCCAAUCCCUAAAAGCCGCCUCAGUUCGGAUUGCGGGCUGCAACUCGCCCGCAUGAAGUCGGAAUCGCUAGUAAUCGCAGAUCAGCAUGCUGCGGUGAAUACGUUCCCG